rnacentral:rRNA from 1 species
GAGGAAUAUUGGUCAAUGGGUGCAAGCCUGAACCAGCCAUCCCGCGUGAAGGAUUAAGGUCCUAUGGAUUGUAAACUUCUUUUGUAUAGGGAUAAACCUACCCUCGUGAGGGUAGCUGAAGGUACUAUACGAAUAAGCACCGGCUAACUCCGUGCCAGCAGCCGCGGUAAUACGGAGGGUGCAAGCGUUAUCCGGAUUUAUUGGGUUUAAAGGGUCCGUAGGCGGACUUAUAAGUCAGUGGUGAAAUCCUGUCGCUUAACGAUAGAACUGCCAUUGAUACUGUAAGUCUUGAGUAUAUUUGAGGUAGCUGGAAUAAGUAGUGUAGCGGUGAAAUGCAUAGAUAUUACUUAGAACACCAAUUGCGAAGGCAGGUUACCAAGAUAUAACUGACGCUGAGGGACGAAAGCGUGGGUAGCGAAC